CACGUAGGCACCAAGCGUUGUCCGGAUUUAUUGGGCGUAAAGAGCUCGUAGGCGGUUUGAUAAGUCUGAUGUGAAAUCUAUGGGCUCAACCCAUAGCCUGCAUUAGAAACUGUCGGGCUUGAGUAUGGGAGAGGUGAGUGGAAUUUCCGGUGUAGCGGUGAAAUGCGUAGAUAUCGGAAGGAACACCUGUGGCGAAAGCGGCUCACUGGACCAUUACUGACGCUGAUGCACGAAAGCUAGGGGAGCAAACAGG
rnacentral:rRNA from 1 species